rnacentral:rRNA from 1 species
UGGGGAAUAUUGCACAAUGGGCGCAAGCCUGAUGCAGCCAUGCCGCGUGUAUGAAGAAGGCCUUCGGGUUGUAAAGUACUUUCAGCGGGGAGGAAGGGAGUAAAGUUAAUACCUUUGCUCAUUGACGUUACCCGCAGAAGAAGCACCGGCUAACUCCGUGCCAGCAGCCGCGGUAAUACGGAGGGUGCAAGCGUUAAUCGGAAUUACUGGGCGUAAAGCGCACGCAGGCGGUUUGUUAAGUCAGAUGUGAAAUCCCCGGGCUCAACCUGGGAACUGCAUCUGAUACUGGCAAGCUUGAGUCUCGUAGAGGGGGGUAGAAUUCCAGGUGUAGCGGUGAAAUGCGUAGAGAUCUGGAGGAAUACCGGUGGCGCAGGCGGCCCCCUGGACGAAGACUGACGCUCAGGUGCGAAAGCGUGGGGAGCAAACAGG